AUUGAACGCUGGCGGCAGGCCUAACACAUGCAAGUCGAGCGAGCGGCGGACGGGUGAGUAAUGUCUGGGAAACUGCCUGAUGGAGGGGGAUAACUACUGGAAACGGUGGCUAAUACCGCAUACUAUCAGAUGAGCCCAGAUGGGAUUAGCGAGUAGGUGGGGUAACGGCUCACCUAAGCGACGAUCCCUAGCUGGUCUGAGAGGAUGACCAGGCACAAUGGAACUGAGACACGGUCCAGACUCCUACGGGAGGCAGCAGUGGGGAAUAUUGCACAAUGGGCGCAAGCCUGAUGCAGCCAUGCCGCGUGGGUGAAGAAGGCCUUCGGGUUGUAAAGCACUUUCAGCGGGGAGGCGUUACCCGCAGAAGAAGCACCGGCUAACUCCGUGCCGGCAGCCGCGGUAAUAC
rnacentral:rRNA from 1 species